rnacentral:rRNA from 1 species
UAGAGUUUGAUCAUGGUUCAGAACGAACGCUGGCGGCAUGCCUAACACAUGCAAGUCGAACGAACCCUUCGGGGUUAGUGGCGCCCGGGUGCGUAACGCGUGGGAACCUGCCUUUAGGUUCGGAAUAACAGUUAGAAAUGACUGCUAAUACCGGAUAAUGUCUUCGGACCAAAGAUUUAUUGCCUUUAGAUGGGCCCGCGUUGGAUUAGAUAGUUGGUGGGGUAAUGGCCUACCAAGUCGACGAUCCAUAGCUGGUCUGAGAGGAUGAUCAUC